rnacentral:sRNA from 1 species
UCUUUAUAGUCGUGGUGACUAUUAAGGGGGUGGCCAGUCAUGCACGGUUACGACAAGCACGCCUUCGAGCCUUUCGCCGUCACCGUCGACCUCGCCGUCCUCACGCUCCGCGCGGACGCGCUGCACGUGCUGCUCGUCGAACGCGGGCAGGAGCCGUACGCCGGCCGCUGGGCGCUGCCCGGCGGCUUCCUGCUGCCCGAGGAGUCGGCGGAGACGGCGGCCCGGCGCGAGCUGGCCGAGGAGACCGGCCUCGCGGACGUGACCGACCUGCACCUGGAGCAGCUGCGCACCUACAGCGAGCCCGACCGCGACCCCCGCAUGCGGGUGGUGUCCGUCGCGUUCGCCGCGCUGCUGCCCGACCCACCCGAACCGCACGGCGGCGGUGACGCCUCGCAGGCCCGCUG